GAGAGGCCCUCAGGUCUUAUCUCCUAAACAUUGAACUGUUAAGUAUUGUUCAAUUUGCAAAAUCAUUUGAAGCUAAUAGUUGAUUGAAGCUAACACAGCCAAGGCAGCAUUAUCUGGAUUGAUGUUGAGGAGAUAAAAAUCCAUAUUGAAUUUCGAGAUUUGUCCAGAAUAUUGAGUUAAGAAUCUGUUUGUGUCCGGAAUGAGAGUGGCACAAGCGCUUGCGCAGAGGGGCGUCGUCGAAAAAGUCGUUGGGCAUGCAAGGCUAUAUGGGUUGCAGGGGGAAAGGGAAAUGGGUCUGUCUUAAUCACCAAUUUGCGGCACAAGUGCGAUUCAUAUGUAGUAAUUUUUGCCUUUUUUUUUAUUAUUAAUUUGCUGGGAUUGUUUUUUUUUUUUAGGAUUAACAUUGAAGU
rnacentral:misc_RNA from 1 species